rnacentral:rRNA from 1 species
AUUCCAGCUCCAAUAGCGUAUAUUAAAGUUGUUGCGGUUAAAAAGCUCGUAGUUGGAUUUCUGCCGAGGAUGACCGGUCCGCCCUGUGGGUGUGCAUCUGGCUCAGCCUUGGCAUCUUCCUGAAGAACGUAGCUGCACUUGACUGUGUGGUGCGGUAUUUAGGACAUUUACUUUGAGGAAAUAAGAGUGUUCCAAGCAGGCUCUCGUCGUGCAUAGCUCAGCAUGGAAUAAUAGCAUUGGACUUCGUUUCUACGCUGUUGGUUGCAAGAAGCGAGGUAAUGAUGAAGAGGGAUAGUUGGGGGCAUUCGUAUUUAACUGUCAGAGGUGAAAUUCUUGGAAUUGUUAAAGACGGACUACUGCGAAAGCAUCUGCCAUGGAUGUUUUCAUCG